rnacentral:rRNA from 1 species
CCUACGGGAGGCAGCAGUGAGGAAUAUUGGUCAAUGGGCGCGAGCCUGAACCAGCCAAGUCGCGUGAAGGAUGACUGCCCUACGGGUUGUAAACUUCUUUUAUCAAGGAAUAAGGUGCGGCACGGGUGCCUUUUUGUAUGUACUUUAUGAAUAAGGAUCGGCUAACUCCGUGCCAGCAGCCGCGGUAAUACGGAGGAUCCGAGCGUUAUCCGGAUUUAUUGGGUUUAAAGGGAGCGUAGAUGGGUGGUUAAGUCAGUUGUGAAAGUUUGCGGCUCAACCCUCCAAGUGCAAUUGAAACUGGCAGGCGUGAGUACAGGUGAGGUAGGCGGAAUUCGUGGUGUAGCGGUGAAAUGCAUAGAUAUCACGAAGAACUCCGAUCGCGAAGGCAGCCUACUAAACUGCCACUGACAUUGAUGCACGAAAGUGUGGGUAUCAAACAGGAUUAGAUACCCGAGUAGUC